rnacentral:rRNA from 1 species
ACAUGCCUACAACAUAGCGUUAAUGAACCGUAUCCCAUUAGCACUCCGGAGUUAAGCAUGCUUAGGCUAGAGUAGUACUUGGAUGGGUGACUGCCUGGGAAAUCCUAGUGUUUUACAUGCC